GACGAACGCUGGCGGCGUGCUUAACACAUGCAAGUCGAGCGGAAAGGCCCUUCGGGGUACUCGAGCGGCGAACGGGUGAGUAACACGUGAGCAACCUGCCCUAGGCUUUGGGAUAACCCCGGGAAACCGGGGCUAAUACCGAAUAUUACCUCUGGUCGCAUGUCCGGGGGUGGAAAGUUUUUUCGGCUUGGGAUGGGCUCGCGGCCUAUCAGCUUGUUGGUGGGGUGAUGGCCUACCAAGGCGACGACGGGUAGCCGGCCUGAGAGGGCGACCGGCCACACUGGGACUGAGACACGGCCCAGACUCCUACGGGAGGCAGCAGUGGGGAAUAUUGCACAAUGGGCGGAAGCCUGAUGCAGCGACGCCGCGUGAGGGAUGACGGCCUUCGGGUUGUAAACCUCUUUCAGCAGGGACGAAGCGUGAGUGACGGUACCUGCAGAAGAAGCGCCGGCCAACUACGUGCCAGCAGCCGCCGUAAAAC
rnacentral:rRNA from 1 species